rnacentral:lncRNA from 1 species
UCUAUGGACUUCCCCUGAAGGGUCCCUAUAUUCCAAGACCCAACCCUCAGCCUACCGUCGCUAUCCACGCGCCCCCCACUUCCCCCCCCUCGGCCAAACCUUGGCCUCCCACCCACUCCCGCUCUCUCCCCAUCCCCCGCCCCCACCACAGCCCCACGCCCCAACCCCCUCGGACAUGACCCUAACCACCCAUUACCGCCCACAGCCACAACUACACGCAAAAAAUAGGGAAGUAAAAGGAUAUAGCCGGUGGCAAUAUCCAAGCAGCAGCCAGGAGAUACAAGGCACACACACGUUGACGGGACUACUCCCGAAGCAAAACUAAGCAGCGACCGCCGCAACAGCAACAACAGUCAACAGACAAUGUUCACAAUAUGAAAUAUGAGAUAACGAACUAAAAUGCGAUAUGAAAUAUGAGAUAACGAACUAAAAUGCGAUAUGAAAUAUGAGAUAACGAACUAAAAUGCAAUAUGAAAUAACGAAAUAAUGAAAUAAUGAAAUAACAAAGGUUAGAAGUCACCGGAUUUCGCUUGGGGCUGCGGCUGAGGACGACGGCGUGGCGGGUGCAGGCGGGGUCUCGGCCUGUUGGAGCCCAAUUUGGCGGCUGGAGAUCGGGCGGCAGCUGAUUGAAUG